AGAGUUUGAUCAUGGCUCAGAUUGAACGCUGGCGGCAGGCUUAACACAUGCAAGUCGAACGGUAACAGGAGAAAGCUUGCUUUCUUGCUGACGAGUGGCGGACGGGCGAGUAAUGCUUGGGAAUCUGGCUUAUGGAGGGGGAUAACUACGGGAAACUGUAGCUAAUACCGCGUAAUAUCUUCGGAUUAAAGGGUGGGACUUUCGGGCCACCUGCCAUAAGAUGAGCCCAAGUGGGAUUAGGUAGUUGGUGGGGUAAAGGCCUACCAAGCCGACGAUCUCUAGCUGGUCUGAGAGGAUGACCAGCCACACUGGAACUGAGACACGGUCCAGACUCCUACGGGAGGCAGCAGUGGGGAAUAUUGCACAAUGGGGGGAACCCUGAUGCAGCCAUGCCGCGUGAAUGAAGAAGGCCUUCGGGUUGUAAAGUUCUUUCGGUGAUGAGGAAGGUGUUUGUUUUAAUAGAACAAGCAAUUGACGUUAGUCACAGAAGAAGCACCGGCUAACUCCGUGCCAGCAGCCGCGGUAAUACGGAGGGUGCGAGCGUUAAUCGGAAUGACUGGGCGUAAAGGGCACGCAGGCGGUGACUUAAGUGAGAUGUGAAAGCCCCGAGCUUAACUUGGGAAUUGCAUUUCAUACUGGGUCGCUAGAGUAUUUUAGGGAGGGGUAGAAUUCCACGUGUAGCGGUGAAAUGCGUAGAGAUGUGGAGGAAUACCGAAGGCGAAGGCAGCCCCUUGGGAAUAUACUGACGCUCAUGUGCGAAAGCGUGGGGAGCAAACAGGAUUAGAUACCCUGGUAGUCCACGCUGUAAACGCUGUCGAUCUGGGGAUUGGGCUUAGAGCUUGGUGCCCGUAGCU
rnacentral:rRNA from 1 species